UAGGGAAUAUUAGAAAUGGACGAAAGUCUGAUCUAGCAACACCGCGUGUGCGAAGAAGGCCUUCGGGUUGUAAAGCACUUUUUGGAAGGAUUAGGAAGGAAUGUACUUCCAGAACAAGUCUCGGCUAACUACGUGCCAGCAGCCGCGGUAACACGUAGGAGGCAAACGUUAUCCGGAUUUACUGGGCGUAAGGCGCGUGUAGGUGGUUCUGUAAGUAGGGCGUGAAAGCUCCUGGCUCAACUGGGAGAGGCCGUUCUAAACUGCAGAGCUAGAGGAUGGUAGAGGGAGGUGGAAUUCCGGGUGUAGCGGUGGAAUGCGCAGAUAUCCGGAGGAACACCAGUGGCGAAAGCGGCCUCCUGGACCAUUCCUGACACUCAGACGCGAAAGCUAGGGUAGCAAACG
rnacentral:rRNA from 1 species